rnacentral:lncRNA from 10 species
CCGGUUCCCGCUCAAGCCUCUCCCUCCAGACCUCCCUGCAAGCUGAGGGAGUGGGCUCCAGCCUUGGCCAGCCCAGAAAGGGGCUCCCACAGUGCAGUGGGGGGGCUGAAGGGCUCUUCAGAUGCCGCCAAAGUGGGAGCCCAGGCAGGGGAGGUGCCAAGAGCAAGCGAGGGCUCUGAGGACUGCCAGCACGCUGUCACCUCUCAAAAUUACUGAGGAAAUCAACCAUAACAACUGCUGGAGGGCAGACUGAACCAGAUUUGGAAAAUCUUAGUUUUCCCUAAAGAAUGGGGCAAAAAGCCAUACCCUUCACCUCCAAAUCAGAUACAGUCAAGGCCUGAAGCUCUUAAGACACAAGAAGAAAUUGCAGGCUUUGGAAGAGAAGGAACUGGAAGGAUGUUACCUCCCCACCAAUGGAUUGCAAGAAAAAGUUAUGCCUGUACAUCCAGCAAAGGAGAAAUACAGGUGACAGCAGAAAAGAAGACCCCAGGCACCGAAGACCCUCUGCCCCUAAGGGUAGCAAGAAAUAACCUUUGGUGUUCUAUAUUUCAUGAAUAAAUAAAAAUAAAAAAAACUAAAAAUUCAU